UAUGUUCCGGACCAUAUCAAUAAGUGGACCAUACGCGUAUGGUUAUGAUCAUAUGCGUAUACUCAUAUGGUCGACGGUACGCG